GAUGAACGCUAGCUACAGGCUUAACACAUGCAAGUCGAGGGGAAACGCCAUCGAAAGCUUGCUUUUGAUGGGCGUCGACCGGCGCACGGGUGAGUAACGCGUAUCCAACCUGCCCAUCACUUGGGGAUAACCUUGCGAAAGUAAGACUAAUACCCAAUGAUAUCUCUAGAAGACAUCUGAAAGAGAUUAAAGAUUUAUCGGUGAUGGAUGGGGAUGCGUCUGAUUAGCUUGUUGGCGGGGUAACGGCCCACCAAGGCAACGAUCAGUAGGGGUUCUGAGAGGAAGGUCCCCCACAUUGGAACUGAGACACGGUCCAAACUCCUACGGGAGGAAGCAGUGAGGAAUAUUGGUCAAUGGGCGAGAGCCUGAACCAGCCAAGUAGCGUGCAGGAAGACGGCCCUAUGGGUUGUAAACUGCUUUUAUAAGGGAAUAAAGUGAGAGUCGUGACUCUUUUUGUAUGUACCUUAUGAAUAAGGACCGGCUAAUUCCGUG
rnacentral:rRNA from 1 species